rnacentral:rRNA from 1 species
UGGGGAAUAUUGGACAAUGGGCGAAAGCCUGAUCCAGCCAUGCCGCGUGUGUGAAGAAGGUCUUCGGAUUGUAAAGCACUUUAAGUUGGGAGGAAGGGCAGUAAGCGAAUAUCUUGCUGUUUUGACGUUACCGACAGAAUAAGCACCGGCUAACUCUGUGCCAGCAGCCGCGGUAAUACAGAGGGUGCAAGCGUUAAUCGGAAUUACUGGGAGUAAAGCGCGCGUAGGUGGUUCGUUAAGUUGAAUGUGAAAGCCCCGGGCUCAACCUGGGAACUGCAUCCAAAGCUGGCGAGCUAGCGUAGGGCAGAGGGUGGUGGAAUGUCCUGUGUAGCGGUGAAAUGCGUAGAUAUAGGAACGAACACCAGUUGCGAAGGCGACCACCUGCGCUCAUACUGACACUGAGGUGCGAAAGCGCGGGGAGCAAACAGG